UCAGGACGAACGCUGGCGGCGUGCCUAAUACAUGCAAGUCGAACGGUCUUUCUAUGGAAGCUUGCUUCCACUGAGAAGAUAGUGGCGAACGGGUGAGUAACACGUGGGUAACCUGCCCAUAAGAGGGGGGAUAACAUCCGGAAACGGGUGCUAAUACCGCAUAGUUUUCUUGAUCGCAUGAUCGGGAAAGGAAAGACGGCCUUUGUGCUGUCGCUUAUGGAUGGACCCGCGGCGUAUUAGUUAGUUGGUGAGGUAAUGGGCUCACCAAGACGAUGAUACGUAGCCGACCUGAGAGGGUGAUCGGCCACAUUGGGACUGAGACACGGCCCAAACUCCUACGGGAGGCAGCAGUAGGGAAUCUUCCGCAAUGGACGAAAGUCUGACGGAGCAACGCCGCGUGAGUGAAAGAAGGUUUUCGGAUCGUAAAACUCUGUUGUCAGAGAAGAACAAGUUGGAGAGUAACUGCUCCAGCCUUGACGGUAUCUGACCAGAAAGCCACGGCUAACUACGUGCCAGCCGCCGC
rnacentral:rRNA from 1 species